rnacentral:rRNA from 1 species
CCUACGGGUGGCUGCAGUCGAGAAUCAUUCACAAUGGGGGAAACCCUGAUGGUGCGACGCCGCGUGGGGGAAUGAAGGUCUUCGGAUUGUAAACCCCUGUCAUGUGGGAGCAAAUUAAAAAGAUAGUACCACAAGAGGAAGAGACGGCUAACUCUGUGCCACCAGCCGCGGUAAUACAGAGGGCUCAAGCGGUGUUCGGAAUCACUGGGCGUAAAGCGUGCGUAGGCUGUUUCGUAAGUCGUGUGUGAAAGGCGCGGGCUCAACCCGCGGACGGCAGAUGAUACUGCGAGACUCGAGUAAGGGAGGGGGAAGCGGAAUGCUCGGUGUAGCAGUGAAAUGCGUAGAUAUCGAGAGGAACACUCGUGGCGAAGGCGGGUUCCUGGACAUUAACUGACGCUGAGGCACGAAGGCCAGGGGAGCGAAAGGGAUUAGAUACCCCGGUAGUC